rnacentral:rRNA from 1 species
AGUGAACGCUGGCGGUAGGCCUAACACAUGCAAGUCGAACGGCAGCACAGUAAGUGCUUGCUCUUACGGGUGGCGAGUGGCGGAUGGGUGAGGAAUACAUCGGAAUCUACUUUUUCGUGGGGGAUAACGUCGGGAAACUUACCCUAAUACUGUAUACGACGUCCGGCUGAAAGUAGGGGAACUUCGGACCUUGCUGGAAUGAUUUUGCCGACGUCGGAUUAGCUGGUUGGCGGGGUAAAGGCCCACCAAGGCGACGAUCCGUAGCUGGUCUGCGAGGAUGGUCAGCCACACUGGAACUGAGACACGGUCCAGACGCCUACGGGAGGCAGCAGUGGGGAAUAUUGGACAAUGGGCGCAAGCCUUAUCCAGCCAUACCGCGUGGGUGAAGAAGGCCUUCGGGUUGUAAAGCCCUUUUGUUGGGAAAGAAAAGCAGCAGGUUAAUACCCCGCUGUUCUGACGGUACCCAAAGAAUAAGCACCGGCUAACUUCGUG